rnacentral:rRNA from 1 species
ACGGAGGGUGCGAGCGUUAUUCGGAAUUACUGGGCGUAAAGCGCGUGCAGGCGGGGGUGCAAGUCUGGUGGGAAAGCCCCGGGCUCAACCUGGGAAGGGCAUUGGAAACUGCACAUCUUGAGUGCUGGAGAGGAAGGGGGAAUUCCCGGUGUAGAGGUGAAAUUCGUAGAGAUCGGGAGGAAUACCAGUGGCGAAGGCGCCCUUCUGGACGGCAACUGACGCUGAGACGCGAAAGCGUGGGGAGCAAACAG